rnacentral:rRNA from 1 species
CCCUACAUUAUUGGGUGGAUCAAGAAAGGAGUGAAUAUGAGGAUCACCAAACAAUGCAACGUGCCACUUUCUUUGGGUAAGCAUUAUCGCUCAAAUGUGUUGUGUGAUGUGGUUGACAUGGAUGCCAGCCAUGUUCUUCUUGGGAGGCCUUGGCAAUUUGAUGUGGAUACUACACACAAGGGCAAGGAAAAUUCUUACUCUUUCAUUUGGAACAAGAGAAAGAUCAUUGUCCUACCAAACAAAACCGAAGGUAAUACCUCUAAGGAGGAGGGGAAAACUAUGUUAACUAUCUCACAUACCUCUCAUGAGUUUAUGGAAGACUUGAAGGAGGCAGAUUUGUGUGCUGCACUUGUUGUAAAGGGAGAAGAGCACCUGACUGUUGAAAUUCCAGCAAAGGUAUGUGGUUUAUUGGCAGAAUUUCAGAACAUACUUGGGGAGCCACAUGGCUUUCCACCGAUUAGAGGAAUUCAACAUAGAAUUGACAUAAUUCCGGGAGCAAGCCUUCCUAGUCUUCCACACUAUCGAAUGAGCCCAAAGGAGUAUGAUAUAUUGAAGGAGAAAGUGGGGGAAUUGUUGCAAAAGGGGCACAUUCGAGAAAGUAUUAGCCCAUGUGUUGUACCAGCCCUGCUCGCGCCUAAGAAAGAUGGAUCUUGGUGCAUGUGUACGGACAGUAGAGCCGUUAACAAGAUCACUGUAAGGUAUAGAUUCCCUAUUCCCCGUCUGGAUGAUAUGUUGGAUCAGCUUAGUGGAGCAAGAGUGUUCACAAAGCUAGAUUUAAGAAGUGGAUAUCAUCAAAUCCGUAUAAGACCCGGGGAUGAAUGGAAGACCACCUUCAAGACAAAGGAAGGGUUGUUUGAAUGGCUAGUCAUGCCAUUUGGAUUCUCAAAUGCACCAAGUACCUUUAUGCACUUAAUGAAUCAAGUCCUUAGACCCUUCUUAUCCCACUUUGUUGUGGUCUAUUUCGAUGACAUCUUGAUCUAUAGCAAGGAUGAGGAUGAACACUUUGAUCACAUUCGGAAGGUGCUAGAAGUAAUAAGGGAAAAUGAGCUCUACGUCAACUUGAAGAAAUGUGUUUUCCUGCAAACACAACUUCUUUUCCUAGGAUUCGUCAUAACAUGUGACAGCAUUCGUGUUGAUGAUUCUAAGGUUGAAGCAAUCCAAGAAUGG